rnacentral:rRNA from 1 species
CCUACGGGGGGCUGCAGUGGGGAAUAUUGGACAAUGGGCGAAAGCCUGAUCCAGCCAUGCCGCGUGUGUGAAGAAGGCCUUCGGGUUGUAAAGCACUUUCAGUGGGGAAGAAAGCCUUGGGGCUAAUACCCUCGAGGAAGGACAUCACCCACAGAAGAAGCACAGGCUAACUCCGUGCCAGCAGCCGCGGUAAUACGGAGGGUGCGAGCGUUAAUCGGAAUUACUGGGCGUAAAGCGCGCGUAGGCGGUCUGAUAAGCCGGUUGUGAAAGCCCCGGGCUCAACCUGGGAACGGCAUCCGGAACUGUCAGGCUAGAGUGCAGGAGAGGAAGGUAGAAUUCCCGGUGUAGCGGUGAAAUGCGUAGAGAUCGGGAGGAAUACCAGUGGCGAAGGCGGCCUUCUGGACUGACACUGACGCUGAGGUGCGAAAGCGUGGGUAGCAAACAGGAUUAGAUACCCUAGUAGUC